ACCCCGAGGAAAAGAAAUCAACCGAGAUUCCCCCAGUAGCGGCGAGCGAACGGGGAGGAGCCCAGAGCCUGAAUCAGUGUGUGUGUUAGUGGAAGCGUCUGGAAAGGCGCGCGAUACAGGGUGACAGCCCCGUACACAAAAAUGCACAUAUUGUGAGCUCGAUGAGUAGGGCGGGACACGUGGUAUCCUGUCUGAAUAUGGGGGGACCAUCCUCCAAGGCUAAAUACUCCUGACUGACCGAUAGUGAACCAGUACCGUGAGGGAAAGGCGAAAAGAACCCCGGCGAGGGGAGUGAAAAAGAACCUGAAACCGUGUACGUACAAGCAGUGGGAGCCUCUUAAUGGGGUGACUGCGUACCUUUUGUAUAAUGGGUCAGCGACUUAUAUUCUGUAGCAAGGUUAACCGAAUAGGGGAGCCGAAGGGAAACCGAGUCUUAACUGGGCGUUAAGUUGCAGGGUAUAGACCCGAAACCCGGUGAUCUAGCCAUGGGCAGGUUGAAGGUUGGGUAACACUAACUGGAGGACCGAACCGACUAAUGUUGAAAAAUUAGCGGAUGACUUGUGGCUGGGGGUGAAAGGCCAAUCAAACCGGGAGAUAGCUGGUUCUCCCCGAAAGCUAUUUAGGUAGCGCCUCGUGAAUUCAUCUCCGGGGGUAGAGCACUGUUUCGGCAAGGGGGUCAUCCCGACUUACCAACCCGAUGCAAACUGCGAAUACCGGAGAAUGUUAUCACGGGAGACACACGGCGGGUGCUAACGUCCGUCGUGAAGAGGGAAACAACCCAGACCGCCAGCUAAGGUCCCAAAGUCAUGGUUAAGUGGGAAACGAUGUGGGAAGGCCCAGACAGCCAGGAUGUUGGCUUAGAAGCAGCCAUCAUUUAAAGAAAGCGUAAUAGCUCACUGGUCGAGUCGGCCUGCGCGGAAGAUGUAACGGGGCUAAACCAUGCACCGAAGCUGCGGCAGCGACACUAUGUGUUGUUGGGUAGGGGAGCG
rnacentral:rRNA from 1 species